rnacentral:lncRNA from 1 species
UGGUUCUCCGGGCCUGCCCAAGGCUAGCGAGUGAGCCCAAUUUUGAUUGUUUUAGAUCUAAGAAGUGGGUUGAUGUUAAAACUUAAAACUUAGCUACAACGAACGAUAAAUAUCACAACAUUACCUUUUUGUUUUCUUAUGGGCAGGGGCACUAAUAAGCAAAAGUGAAAAGAAAUGUAAAAGUGCCAAAUAUUUCUUUGCCAUUACAUUUGCAGUCUGUUGGUAGCCGGUGACCUGGUCGCGCACUUAAAUGAUGCAAAUAUUAUUAAAACUUUGAUCUGUGUGCGUGUUUAUGGGAAGAGAGCUGAACAGAAAUUGAUUUUUAACGAAAACAGAGGAGCAGAUUUUAGGAUCUUGGUGGUAUUGUUUUGUUAGGAAUUCAAGAAAUAGAAAAAUUGCGCAUGAGCAUGCUUCAUUCAACCAGAAAGGAAAAGUCCCAAAUGUAAAAGCAAAUGCGAAAGGGGAAAAAAAAAUAAAAACACAACUGUGUAAUGAUAAAUUAAAGUGGCAGGUAACUAUCUAGUGUAACUUUAUUUCUGUUUUUAAACUUUGGGGGGAAAAAAAAGGGGGGGGAAAAAGGUUGAGAGUCGGAUACUUGGAUACUGGCUGGAGCUGGACAAGACUCCUCUUUAGCCUUGGCUUUGCCCUUGCACUCACAAUCCCACAUCCAUCAAUUUGAAAUGACACCCAUCUCUCUCUCUCUCUCUCCCCACUUCGCAUCUCGAGCCUUUUUAUAUACGCUAGAAAAUACAAAGUUUAAUUACCUCUAACGUGGCUGGCAUUGGCAAAUGGCAACGACACAAUACAAAUAAAUAAUCAUAUACACACGUAUUGCUGAAAGAGGCAAUUGAAAGGGAAAAGAGCAAAACUUACUUUUAUGGACUGAAACAGAGAGAGGGGGUUAAUGCAGAAACCAGAACUGCACAGGAAAAUCAAAUUAGUCAUCGGAAAAUGAGGGAAAAAGCUUAUAUGUAGGCGACGCCCAUUAUGUAGUCCCUCUCAAAAGAUAUGAUACUAUUACUAUGUAAAUAAUUAACAAUAAUAAAGGAAAGAAUAAUAAUAUCUUUCGUGUAAGCUUUUGCUUUUCAUAUCUUUGGACGCUGUAAAAUGCAAUCCUUCUGCUGCAGCUCCUGCUUUUCACAUUUUUGGCACCUGCAGGUUUCCGAAGCUUUUCCAGAUGCUGCCGCUGCAUUGCAUGCAGGAACCUUUUGUUUGUUGCUUUAGUUGUCAUCAUCUUUUAGAUAAAAAAACCGUUCAGUGGAGCAAGGGUUGAUUAUACAAUAAAU